GGUUUAAUUCGAUGAUACGCGAGGAACCUUACCAGGGCUUGACAUGCAGCUGCACGUCCGUCGAAAGGCGGAUUCCUUCGAGGGUGCUGCACAGGUGCUGCAUGGCUGUCGUCAGUUCGUGCCGUGAGGUGUUGGGUUUAAGUCCCGCAACGAACGCAACCCCUGUACUUAGUUGCCACCAUGAGUGAUGAGCUUAUGAGCACUCUAAGUAGACUGCCUGUGACAAGCAGGAGGAAGGUGGGGAUGACGUCAAGUCAGUAUGGCCUUUAUGCCCUGGGCUGCACACGUGCUACAAUGGAUGGUACAGAGAGAUGCGAGACCGCGAGGUGGAGCUAAUCUCCAAAAACCAUCCCCAGUUCGGAUUGAAGUCUGCAACUCGACUUCAUGAAGCCGGAUUCGCUAGUAAUGGCGCAUCAGCUACGGCGCCGUGAAUACGUUCCCGGGCCUU
rnacentral:rRNA from 1 species